UACGUAGGGUGCAAGCGUUGUCCGGAAUUAUUGGGCGUAAAGGGCUCGUAGGCGGUUUGUCGCGUCGGGAGUGAAAACCUACAGCUUAACUGUGGGCUUGCUUUCGAUACGGGCAGACUUGAGGCAUGCAGGGGAGAACGGAAUUCCUGGUGUAGCGGCGAAAUGCGCAGAUAUCAGGAGGAACACCGGUGGCGAAGGCGGUUCUCUGGGAAUGUCCUGACGCUGAGGAGCGACAGUGUGGGGAGCGAACAGG
rnacentral:rRNA from 1 species